rnacentral:rRNA from 1 species
UACGUAGGUGGCAAGCGUUGUCCGGAAUUAUUGGGCGUAAAGCGCGCGUAGGCGGUCCUUUAAGUCUGAUGUGAAAGCCCACGGCUCAACCGUGGAGGGUCAUUGGAAACUGGGGGACUUGAGUACAGAAGAGAAGAGUGGAAUUCCACGUGUAGCGGUGAAAUGCGUAGAGAUGUGGAGGAACACCGGUGGCGAAGGCGACUCUUUGGUCUGUAACUGACGCUGAGGCGCGAAAGCGUGGGGAGCAAACAGG